rnacentral:rRNA from 1 species
UACGGAGGGUGCGAGCGUUGUCCGGAAUCACCGGGCGUAAAGGGCGCGUAGGCGGCGCGAGCAGUCGGCGGUGAAAGCCCGGAGCUCAACUCCGGGUCGGCCGUCGAUACUCUCGUGCUUGAGCACUGUAGAGGCAGGUGGAAUUCCGGGUGUAGCGGUGGAAUGCGUAGAGAUCCGGAAGAACACCGGUGGCGAAGGCGGCCUGCUGGGCAGUAGCUGACGCUGAUGCGCGACAGCGUGGGGAGCAAACAGG